AGUCGAUGUAUAUAUGGGCAGGGGAGAGGCGGACUCGCUCUGAGAGUUGCAGGAACUUAUUUUACCAGCCAACUUCACACCAAGCUGCUGCCAUCCAGGCCUCAAGUGGAAGGACCAGCCCAGCAGAUGGGCCCGGCACAGCCUACCUGACGGAAUGAGCAGACCCUCUCAAAUCGGGAGCCUGCGAGGACGAGGGCAGGUGAUAGGGCCCUCCAACAGGAAGACACGGGCUCAAGGCUCACAGGAAAAAGCGGAAGGGAGAGGGAGAGAGAGAUAGAAACAUCAAUGAUGAGAGAGAAUCAAU